AAGUCGUAACAAGGUUUCCGUAGGUGAACCUGCGGAAGGAUCAUUAUUGAAAUAAACCUGAUGGGUUGUUGCUGGUUCUCUAGGGAGCAUGUGCACACCUUGUCAUCUUUAUAUCUCCACAUGUGCACUUUUUGUAGACCUUUCAGGUCUAUGUUGCUUCAUUUACCCCAAUGUAUGUUAAUAGAAUGUUGUGACUAUAUAAUAUAUACAACUUUCAGCAACGGAUCUCUUGGCUCUC
rnacentral:misc_RNA from 1 species